UACGUAGGGGGCAAGCGUUGUCCGGAAUCAUUGGGCGUAAAGAGCGCGUAGGCGGUCCGAUAAGUCGGUUGUGAAAACUGGGGGCUCAACCCUCAGAGGCCGACCGAUACUGUCGGGCUAGAGUCCGGAAGAGGCGAGUGGAAUUCCUGGUGUAGCGGUGAAAUGCGCAGAUAUCAGGAGGAACACCAAUGGCGAAGGCAGCUCGCUGGGACGGUACUGACGUUGAGACGCGAAAGCGUGGGGAGCAAACAGG
rnacentral:rRNA from 1 species